UACGUAGGGGGCAAGCGUUGUCCGGAUUUAUUGGGCGUAAAGAGCGUGUAGGCGGCCAGAUAGGUCAGCUGUGAAAACUCGAGGCUCAACCUCGAGAUGUCGGCUGAAACCAUCUGGCUAGAGUCCGGAAGAGGAGAAUGGAAUUCCCGGUGUAGCGGUGAAAUGCGCAGAUAUCAGGAGGAACACCAAUAGCGAAGGCAGCUUGCUGGGACGGUACUGACGCUAAGGCGCGAAAGCGUGGGGAGCGAACAGG
rnacentral:rRNA from 1 species